UAGGAUCAGUACCACUCUUCAUGAAAAGAUCAUCUGCAUUGGACAUUCCAUCUGUAGAUGGUGGUAGUGUCUAUGGGAAUAGCAUAACAAAGGUUUGUACAGCAUGACAAAGAAUUGUCUUACAGUAUGUAUGCAAGAAAUUUUUUAGUUAUUUUAAGGGUUCUUUUUGCUCUACUGAUAGCUAUCAUUUCAGAAGAAAGAACCAUGAUAAAAUCUUCCCUAUAUAAAUAGGAUUAAGAACUCCCAUCAUCAGUGUUAAUGGGCAAAGGCAUUUCUUUCUAUAACUCUCUUAUUGGUGAACAUUUCAAUAUUUUCUUUUCUUUCCUUUAUAUUUCUUCCUCUUUCCUUUCUUUCCUUCCAUCUUCCUCCAACAUACUCUAUUUCUACUUUCUUGUUUUCUAUACAUUUUUAUUAUUUUUGUAUCACCACAUAAUCCUGGCUAUUCUAGAAUUUAUUGUAUAGACCAAGAUGCUCUUAGACUUAAGGAAAUUCUUUUGCCUCCUAAAUGUUUGGAUUAUAGGUGCAUACCACUGUAACUGAUUGAAAGUCUAGUUUUUAUAAGAUUGCACAUUACACAAUUAAAAAGGAUUUGACUUAGAAGAAAUAAAGUGAGUAACGGAAAGACCAAGGGGAAAACUCAGAUUAAUUUGACAACAUCAAAGUGGACUAACUGUGUUUUCCACAGGUUUCCUAAUACCAGAUUCAUAAAAUCUGUAAUAUUAUACAUGUAAUUAGUGAGAAUUAUAGUUGGGAGCAUGGAUCUCAUCUAACAGAUUUUUCUAAUUAGUGAAGCUUACAAAUUCCUAUUAGGAACUGGAUGCUUAGGCAGAGGUGUUCAAAUGGUAACAUCUGAAGAAUAGCUAGUGAUCCAUUUAGAUGUAUUGUUACUUUUAUGUUGUUUGGAACUCCUGGUAUAAAUACCACUUUGUUUUCUUUUGCUUAUGUCAACUUUCUUGAUAUAUAUAUUCAAAACCAGGCUAUUAUUUUUGCUCCUUGUUUAGGUGUGCAUUAACUAAUAAAAUUACUUACUUGAAUAGUGAAACGUGUCAUUAAGAAACCCUAGGUAUUGUGAAUAUGGUUAUGAUUUUAAAAAUAAGUAUUUGAGGCUAGAGAGAUGACUCAUUGGUAAGAAUAUUUACUGUUCUUGUAGUGGACCUCAGUUAAGUUUGUAUACUCACACAGUGGUUCACAACUGCUUUUUACUACACUUCCAAGAAAUCCAGGAAUCUAAUGUCUUCAACUGUUUGCUAAGGGUACCCUGAGCACAUGGUAUACAUACAUGCACAAAAAAUAAAAAUAUAUAAAUCUUUUCUUUUUAAUAUUUACAAAGAAAAAUAAAGGGUUGUGCCCUAAGUUUAUGUUUAAAGAAAGAAAUAGAUGAUAACCAACUCAGCAAAGACAUAGAUACACAUGAAUAAAGCAUUGAAGGAAGGGGGUGUAAGGGAGUGCCCAGGAAUAAGGACUAGGAGGAGAUCCUAUUUUCAGUACCGUGGUCGAGGAUGAUUAAGAGAAAAAAGCAAACAAUAAUCAAUGACCACAGGCAGGCAGGCUAUCUAAUAGUCUAUCCCUUUCAUUACCUUACUACUGAGACUGUGACCCAUGGAUUAGCAACAUUGGAAUCUUCCAGAGUUUGUACUAAGAACAGGAUCCUAGGCCUGAUGCCACACAGGCAGAAAAUGUGCUUUCUAGCACAGUCCUGGGAAAUUAACAUGUGUUUUACUAUGAAGAUCCAUGCACAUGGUAAAGUCCUAGAAGAGGAAAAAAUUUUCAUGUAAAUGGAUGUUUCUGGGAAUGGCACUUCACAAUAAAGAACCAUGGCUACACAGGAAGAAUAAGGGGGGCUCAGAUAAACAUUUAGGUCCUGACAGUCAUGACCAAUUUUACAUACCAUCAUUUUAAAUUUGGAUCAUGCAGUAUUCACUUUAGCUUGCACUCCUUUCCACAGCCUGCCUCCUGGUACUUCUAUGGGACCAGAAAAGAAUAACGGUCAUGUUAAAAUUUCCUCAUUUUAACUGUCUUGCUGUCACUGUCAUCAAUGAUUUGGUCUACAUAAUCUGGUAUAUUAUCUCCCCAGCUACUGUUUCAUGUUAACAACUACACAUUAUCACUGUAAAAAUAAGUUGUCCAGUGUUCUGUAAAUGCUUCUAUUUCCCCAUUAAAUCCAUGCACUUGCGGUGUUUU
rnacentral:lncRNA from 1 species